GGCAUCCCCUUGCUUGUUGGUUUUCAAGCCUUGAUUGCUUCGUAAUCAAGAAAAAAAAAGCAAGAGAAGAAGAGAAGAAAAGAUCAAGAAAAAGAUCAAAGAGUUGAUCGCGAUCCAGAUUUCGUUCAGAUUCGCAGGCUCAUUGUUCUUAAAGAAGAAAGAUCAACACCAAAGAGGACUGUUCCAGACUGAUCCUAAGUGGAUAUCCAUAGAGGUCGAGUACUUGUGCAGCUAAGAAAGAAUCUACUCUCUUUCAGAUCC
rnacentral:lncRNA from 1 species